rnacentral:rRNA from 1 species
GACGAACGCUGGCGGCGUGCCUAAUACAUGCAAGUCGAACGCUUCUUUUUCCACCGGAGCUUGCUCCAUCGGAAAAAGAGGAGUGGCGAACGGGUGAGUAACACGUGGGUAACCUGCCCAUCAGAAGGGGAUAACACUUGGAAACAGGUGCUAAUACCGUAUAACAAUCGAAACCGCAUGGUUUUGAUUUGAAAGGCGCUUUCGGGUGUCGCUGAUGGAUGGACCCGCGGUGCAUUAGCUAGUUGGUGAGGUAACGGCUCACCAAGGCGACGAUGCAUAGCCGACCUGAGAGGGUGAUCGGGCCACAUUGGGACUGAGACACGGCCCAAACUCCUACGGGAGGCAGCAGUAGGGAAUCUUCGGCAAUGGACGAAAGUCUGACCGAGCAACGCCGCGUGAGUGAAGAAGGCUUUCGGGAUCGGUAAAACUCUGUUGUUAGAGAAGAACAAGGGAUGAGAGUAAACUGUUCAUCCCUUGACGGUAUCUAAACCAGAAAAAGCC